rnacentral:tRNA from 1 species
GUCCGGGUGGCGGAAGAGGUAGACGCACUAGCUUGAGGUGCUAGUCCCCGCUUAAGGGCGUGGGGGUUCAAGUCCCCCCUCGGACA